GAUUGGCCAGAAAGUUCAGGUUUUUUGUAACAUCUUAAUGGAAAAACCUGAACAAACUUUUUGGCCUAC
rnacentral:miRNA from 1 species